rnacentral:rRNA from 1 species
AUUGAACGCUUGCGGCAGGCGUAAAACAUGCAAGUCGAGCGAGCGGCGGACGGGUGAGCAAUGUAUGGGGAAUUCCCGAUAGAGGGGGCUAACUUAUGGAAACGGUAGCUAAUACCGAAAACUAUCGGAUAACCCAUAUGGGAUUAGCUAGUAGGUGAGGUAAUGGCUCACAUAGGCGACGACCCCUAACUUGUAUGAGAGGAUGAUCAGCCACACUGGGACUGACACACGACCCAGAGUCCUACGGAAGCCUGAGUGGGGAAUAUUACAGAAUGGGCGCAAGCUGGAUGCAGCCAUGCCGCGUGUAUUAAGAAGGCCCUAGGGUUGUAAAGUACUUUCAGUCGGGAGGCGUUACCGACAGAAGAAGCACCGGCUAACUCCGUGUCAGCAGCCGCGGUAAUUC